CCUACGGGUGGCAGCAGUGAGGAAUAUUGGUCAAUGGGCGCGAGUCUGAACCAGCCAAGUAGCGUGCAGGAUGACUGCCCUACGGGUUGUAAACUUCUUUUAUAAAGGAAUAAAGUGAGGCACGUGUGCCUUUUUGUAUGUAUUUUAUGAAUAAGGAUCGGCUAACUCCGUGCCAGCAGCCGCGGUAAUACGGAGGAUCCGAGCGUUAUCCGGAUUUAUUGGGUUUAAAGGGAGCGUAGAUGGGUUGUUAAGUCAGUUGUGAAAGCUUGCGGCUCAACCGUGGAAUUGCAAUUGAUACUGGCAGUCUUGAGUGCAGUUGGGGUAGGCGGAAUGCAUGGUGUAGCGGUGAAAUGCUUAGAUAUCACGAAGAACUCCGAUUGCGAAGGCAGCUUACCAAGCUGCCACUGACAUUGAGGCUCGAAAGUGUGGGUAUCAAACAGGAUUAGAUACCCGGGUAGUC
rnacentral:rRNA from 1 species